GGCUAAACUAGCCCUUCAAACGGGGUGCCGUCUUAUGUAGAUGGUGAUAAUGUUAUUAUUGCUUUUUCGGGUGCCUUAUGCUCAGAACCCAUGUGAGUCACCGUGCUGAGACAUAAUACUACAGGUUCCCAAUAAAUACGGACAGAGGCCUGAAUGCGGAUCCACUGAUAUUAACCUCCACUUGGCAAACAUCAGAAGGCUCAGCAGAGAAGAACUCUCCUAGGAUGCGGGACGCUGUGUAGUAGCCAGGAGCUCUCCAGUUGCGCCUAGCUGAGUUUUUCAAGAGUCAGGACGAGCUGUUAGUGCAACCUGGAGAAAGUGCAGGCUGAGCUGAGCUCUGCUUUACCCGGCUAGAUGGCAUCAGGGUCUCGGCUCUUGGCUCCACUAGUGCACUCUGCCAAGGGUGCAAACAUAAAACCUGGCCUAAAAAAUACGGAAAUAUGUGGGUGUGGAGCGGGAGCAGGACUUCCAGGGGAGACCGCGUUACCAGCACUGUCAGGAAGAGCUGGGCCCCGCAAAGGCCCCUCAGCAAGGGUCUGAGUUUUGGGAAUCUCGUCGCUGUCUGGCCGGG